UGUUCAGUGGCUUAGCUGGUUAAAGUGUCGGACUAGCGAGACGGAGUCAUGGGUUCUAAUCCCAUCAAAACAA
rnacentral:tRNA from 1 species